rnacentral:rRNA from 1 species
UUCAGAAUCUUGCCCAAUGGACGAAAGUCUGAGGCAGCCAUGCCGCGUGUGUGAAGAAGGCCCUCGGGUCGUAAAGCACUGUCAGGAGGGACGAUAGUGACGGUACCUCCUAAGGAAGCCACGGCUAAUUACGUGCCAGCAGCCGCGGUAAUACGUAAGUGGCGAGCGUUAUCCGGAUUUACUGGGCAUAAAGCGUUCGUAGGCGGCGUAGUAAGUUGGAUUUGAAAGACCGGGGCUCAACUCCGGAACCGGAUCCAAAACUACUAUGCUAGAGCGUAUCAGAGGGCAGUGGAAUUCCCGGUGUAGCGGUAAUAUGCGUAGAUAUCGGGAGGAACACCAGUGGCGAAGGCGACUGCCUGGGGUACUGCUGACGCUGAGGAACGAAAGCUAGGGGAGCGAACG